rnacentral:lncRNA from 1 species
AAUAAUAAUAAUAAUGAUAAUAAUAAUACCGACGCUUCUAUGAAGCAAGUGUCAAAAGACUUGAUGACUGGUACCCGAAGUCCCAAGUUUGAAUACUAGUUGAUUUAUAUUUUCAGCUAAGUUUAUUUCUAAAUAAAAUAAACGAAGCGGAUAGUAUGCUACCUAUCUCUCAAAAUAAUAAUAAUAAUAAUAAUAAUAAUAAUAAUAAGAGGUAAUUGCAUAUGUAUUUUUGAUAAAUUUUCAACUUUCUAAUUUAUUUUUUAAAAAAGUCAAUAUAAAAAUAUCUUUUUUACACUCCAAUCUAUUCCAAAUAUAUUCUUAGAAUAAAUUCUGUUAAUAAACCAUUAGUAAUAGCGAUUAUCUGUAUGAAAUUAUUAUUUUGUCCUUUCAAAUAUACUCUUCCACCAUCACCGAUUUUUCUUAAUUAUUUGUCCUUAAGUUAGGGGCACAAAAAAUAUUUUAAUUUUUAAUUUUUUCAAAUAUACUUUUUUACAAUCAUCAAUAUUUUUUAUUUGCCCUUAAGUUAAGGGCAAAAGAAGUUUUGUUUUUUUUUUUUUUACUCUAGUAGAUAUUUAACUCACGUUAACCCAAGUUAACUUAACGGAUGAUAACUGUAGGAAUAUUUUGAAAUAACAGAAGAAUAUAUAAGCGGUAUAAUAGAAAGAAAAAAAAAAAAGUAAAGGUAAAUAAGAUAUUUUCGAAGUUUUGAAAAGCAUAUAGACAAU